rnacentral:rRNA from 1 species
UACGAGAGGCCCAAACGUUAUUCGGAUUUACUGGGCUUAAAGAGUUCGUAGGCGGUCCGUCAAGUGAGGUGUGAAAGCCCUCGGCUCAACCGAGGAAUUGCGCUUCAAACUGUCGGGCUCGAGGGAGAUAGAGGUGAGCGGAACUGAUGGUGGAGCGGUGAAAUGCGUUGAUAUCAUCAGGAACACCAGAGGCGAAGGCGGCUCACUGGGCCUCUUCUGACGCUGAGGAACGAAAGCUAGGGGAGCAAACGGG